GCGGCAGGCUUAACACAUGCAAGUCGAACGUGAAGUCACCUUCGGGUGAUGGAAAGUGGCAGACGGGUGAGUAACGCGUGGGAACCUACCUAGUGGUACGGAAUAACUCAGGGAAACUUGGGCUAAUACCGUAUGUGCCCGAAAGGGGAAAGAUUUAUCGCCAUUAGAUGGGCCCGCGUCGGAUUAGCUAGUCGGUGGGGUAAAAGCCUACCAAGGCGACGAUCCGUAGCUGGUCUGAGAGGAUGAUCAGCCACACUGGGACUGAGACACGGCCCAGACUCCUACGGGAGGCAGCAGUGGGAAAUAUUGGACAAUGGGCGCGAGCCUGAUCCAGCCAUGCCGCGUGAGUGAUGAAGGCCCUAGGGUUGUAAAGCUCUUUCGACGGGGACGAUAAUGACGGUACCCGUAGAAGAAGCCCCGGCUAACUUCGUGCCAGCCGCCGCGGUAACAC
rnacentral:rRNA from 1 species